rnacentral:rRNA from 1 species
AGCGAACGCUGGCGGUAGGCCUAACACAUGCAAGUCGAACGGCAGCACAGUAAGAGCUUGCUCUUACGGGUGGCGAGUGGCGGACGGGUGAGGAAUACAUCGGAAUCUACUUUUUCGUGGGGGAUAACGUAGGGAAACUUACGCUAAUACCGCAUACGACCUACGGGUGAAAGCAGGGGAUCUUCGGACCUUUCGCGAUUGAAUGAGCCGAUGUCGGUUUUGCUAGUUGGCGGGGUAAAGGCCCACCAAGGCGACGAUCCGUAGCUGGCCUGAGAGGAUGAUCGCCCCCACGGGACCUGGAACACGGACCAGAGUCCUACGGGAGGCACCAGAGGGGAAUAUUGGACAAUGGGCGCAAGCCUGACCCAGCCAGCCCGCGUGGGUGAAGAAGACCUUCGGGUUGUAAAGCCCGUUUGUUGGGAAAGAAAAGCAGCAGGUUGAGACCCCGCUGUUGUGACGGUACCCAAAGAAUAAGCACCGGCUAACUUCGUG